rnacentral:misc_RNA from 1 species
AACGCACAUUGCGCCCUGUGGUAUUCCGCAGGGCAUACCUGUUCGAGCGUCAUUACAACCUCUCCAGCUCCGCUGGGUCUUGGGGCUUGCCUUCCCGGGCAUCCCUUAAAACUAGAUGCGGCGCCGCGUGGCUCUAAGCGUAGUACUUUUCUCGCUUCUGGGUCCGCUGUGGUGCCUGCUACCAAACCCCAACUUUCUAUGGUUGACCUCGAAUCAGGUAGGGAUACCCGCUGAACUUAA